AUUUUUACUUGGAUUAAAUGUCAGGAAUUGUGAAAACUGAGUUUAAAUGUAUUUGGCUAAGGUGUAUGUAAACUUCCGACUCCAGCUGUAUUUACAGUGAGUGUGUCACAGUCCUUAGUGUCAGGACCAAACCCAAACAGCGUCUUAUUCAACAACCUGUCAUGACAUGAUGGGUUAGUUGAGAUUGUGAGGUAAGAAUGUGGGUGAGAUUGUGAGGUAAGAUGGUGGGUGAGGUUGUGCGGUAAGAUGGUGGGUGAGGUUGUGCGGUAAGAUGGUGGGUGAGGUUGUGCGGUAAGACGGUGGGUGAGGUUGUGCAGUAAGAUGGUGGUUGAGGUUAUGCAGUAAGAUGGUGGGUGAGCUGAGACUGACUCUUGGGAGGCCAUGGUUUGGGCGACCACACAGUCUUGGGACGAGCGUUGAUAUCCGCUACACGGUCAUUGAAUCUGGCGUGGUCUGUGGUCACAGUGCUGUAUGU
ensembl:lncRNA